rnacentral:rRNA from 1 species
GAAUCUUGGACAAUGGGCGAAAGCCUGAUCCAGCGACUCCGCGUGGAGGAUGAAGCCUUAUGGGGUGUAAACUCCUUUUCUGGAGGAAGACGAAUGACGGUACUCCAGGAAUAAGGGACGGCUAACUACGUGCCAGCAGCCGCGGUAAUACGUAGGUCCCGAGCGUUAUCCGGAUUUACUGGGCGUAAAGCGUCUGUAGCCGGAUGGUUAAGUCUACUUUCAAAGACCGCAGCUCAACUGCGGAUCGGGAGUAGAUACUGGCUAUCUAGAGUAUUUUGGAGGUUAGUGGAAUUUCCGGUGGAGCGGUGAAAUGCGUUGAUAUCGGAAGGAACGCCAAAAGCGAAAGCAGCUAACUAUGAAAUUACUGACGGUGAGAGACGAAAGCUUGGGUAGCAAACGGG